GGCAGUGGCGCUAGAGUUAGUGGCGGGCAGCGGCAGAUUUGAGGCUUAAGCAACUUCUUCCAGGAAGGAGAGCCAGUGCAGCUGCUGUUACAACCCCAAGGUGUUGAUCCACUUCCAUAGAUUGGAAUAUUGGUGGGCGAGCAGCCAUCCUCAGACACCUCACUUAGGGCAGAUGAGGAAACUGAGGCUUGCUGAAGUUACGAAACUUGUCCAAAGUCACACAGCUUGUAAAGGGCACAGCCAAGAUUCAGAGCCAGGUUGUGAAAAUUAAAAUGAACAAACUACGGCAAAGUUUUAGGAGAAAGAAAGAUGUUUAUGUUCCAGAAGCCAGUCGUCCACAUCAGUGGCAGACAGAUGAAGAAGGGGUUCGUACUGGAAAAUGUAGCUUCCCAGUUAAGUAUCUUGGCCACGUAGAAGUUGAUGAAUCAAGAGGAAUGCACAUUUGUGAAGAUGCUGUAAAGAGAUUGAAAGCUGAAAGGAAGUUCUUCAAAGGCUUCUUUGGAAAAACUGGAAAGAAAGCAGUUAAGGCAGUCCUCUGGGUAUCAGCAGACGGACUCAGAGUGGUGGAUGAAAAAACUAAGGACCUCAUAGUUGACCAGACAAUAGAAAAAGUGUCUUUCUGUGCCCCAGAUAGGAACUUUGAUAGAGCUUUCUCUUACAUAUGUCGUGAUGGCACCACUCGGCGCUGGAUCUGUCAUUGCUUCAUGGCUGUCAAGGACACGGGUGAAAGAUUGAGCCAUGCGGUAGGCUGUGCUUUUGCGGCCUGUUUAGAACGUAAGCAGAAGCGGGAGAAGGAAUGUGGAGUAACUGCUACUUUUGAUGCCAGUCGAACCACUUUUACUAGAGAAGGAUCAUUGCGUGUCACAACAGCCACCGAGCAAGCCGAAAGAGAGGAGAUUAUGAAACAAAUCCAAGAUGCCAAGAAAGAUAAGACAGUUGUUGGUUCAUCAGUGGCCCCUGGCAACACUGCCUCAUCCCCGUCGUCUCCCACCUCUCCCACUUCGGAUGCCACUGCCUCUCUGGAGAUGAACAAUCCUCAUGCCAUCCCACGUCGACACGCACCGAUUGAACAACUUGCUCGCCAAGGCUCUUUCCGAGGAUUUCCUGCUCUUAGCCAGAAGAUGUCACCCUUUAAACGCCAACUAUCCCUGCGCAUCAACGAGUUGCCUUCCACUAUGCAGGGGAAGACUGAUUUCCCCAUAAAAAAUGCAGUGCCAGAGGUAGAAGGGGAAGCAGAGAGUAUCAGCUCCCUGUGCUCACAGAUCACCAAUGCCUUCAGCACACCCUCCGAGGAUCCCUUCUCAUCCGCUCCAAUGAUCAAACCAGUGACAGUUGUGGCACCACAAUCUCCUGCCUUUCAAGCUAAUGGCACUGACUCAGCCUUCCAUGUGCUUGCUGCUAAGCCAGCCCAUACUGCUCUAGCACCCGUAGCAAUGCCUGUGCAUGAAACCAACCCUUGGGCCCAUGCCCCUGAUGCUGCUAACAAGGAAAUUGCAGCCACACGUUCGGGGACUGAGUGGGGUCAAUCUUCUGGUGCUGCCUCUCCAGGUCCCUUCCAGGCUGGUCAUAGACGAACUCCCUCUGAGGCCGACCGCUGGUUAGAGGAAGUAUCCAAGAGCGUCCGAGCUCAGCAGCCCCAGGCCUCAGCUGCUCCUCUGCAGCCAGUUCUCCAGCCGCCUCCACCCACAGCCAUCUCCCAGCCAGUGCCACCUUUCCAAGGGAAUGCAUUCCUCACCUCUCAGCCUGUGCCAGUGGGUGUGGUCCCACCCUUGCAGCCAGCCUUUGUCCCUGCCCAGUCCUAUCCUGUGGCCAAUGGGAUGCCCUAUCCAGCCCCAAAUGUGCCUGUGGUGGGCGUCACUCCCUCCCAGAUGGUAGCCAACGUGUUUGGCACUGCAGGCCACCCUCAGGCUGCCCAACCCCCAUCCGUCUCCCAGCCUGGUCAAGCAACAGACAUUCCCUCAGUAUGAAACAAGCAGUGCUACUGCCAGUCCCUUCUUUAAGCCUCCUGCUCAGCACCUCAACGGUUCUGCCGCUUUCAAUGGUGUAGAUGAUGGCAGGUUGGCUUCAGGAGACAAGCACACAGAGGUUCCUGCAGGCACCUGCCUGGUGGAUCCUUUCGAAGCCCAGUGGGCUGCAUUAGAAAGCAAGUCCAAGCAGCGUACUAACCCCUCCCCCACCAACCCUUUCUCCAGUGACUUACAGAAGACGUUUGAAAUUGAACUUUAAGCAGUCCCUAUGGCUUAUGCAUUUUGUCCAUACUUAGGCAAGGGUGGGGGUGGAGGUCAAAGGAGCAAAGGGGACUUUGUGUUCCCCAUCAGUAUACUUUUCACUAAGCCCAAAGGUCCCCAAGAAGCAAGUCCAGGCACAGAGUGCAGGGAGGGGUGAUUUUGAAAAAAGUGGAAAAAAACCAUUCCUAGAGAAGAGCUGUCUUGCGGUUAGGCUAAAGAAGUCAAGGAAAUGUUGCCCUCUGUUCCCCUCCUCCUCCUCAGCCCUUACAAAUCUCUGGCAACAGAGAGGCAGACAUAUCUGAACAAGAAUCUGUAUUCAAAGCACAUUUCCUGGAAUAUAAAACAACGGGAAGCAAAACGAUCUCCCUUGGUGUUUCAGGCCAUUCACCUGCCUCCUCUUAGUGCUGGCCUGUCUUAAAGAUCAAGAACAGGGUGGCCUAUGCUUGGGCUGGGGACAAGAAGCAUGCUGUGCUGCCAGAAUUCCCAGGAGGACACAUUGGCAGCUGCCCAGCAGAGCUAUAUUUUAGGGGUAAAGUUGAGCUUCCAUUUUGAGUAAGAAUAUUAUAAAUAUAUAUCAAAAAAGCCAAAAUCUUUAUUUUUAUGCAUUUAGAAUAUUUUAAAUAGUUCUCAAUAUUAAAAAGUUGUAUGAGUUGUAAGUAAUCUUGCCAAAGGUAAAAGGGUUAGCUGUAAGAAAUUGUACAUAAGAUUGCUUUAUCAUCGAUGCCUAUUGAAGUAAAAAAGAGGAAAGGUUGGAAGUUGCAGACAGGAUCCCUAGCUUAUUUGAUAUCAUUCAUUGUAAGUAGCACAUUGCAACAACAAUCAUGCUUAUGACCAAUAUAGUCACUAGGUUGUAGUUUUAAAUAAAGAAAAUGAAAGAGCAGUAUUGUCCUGGUUUUAAACCUAUGAUGAAAUUCUAAUGUCAUUAUUUUAAUGGAAUCAAUCUAAAUAUGCUCUACAGAGAAUAUGUACUUUUUUAUAUAUUGCUGUUUCCUUAUGUUAAUCCUUUGUUUGUUGUAACACUAAGGGACAAUGACAUAAUCAUAUCCAUAGACGGCAAUGCAGGUUACUGUGUUGGUUUGUCAUGUGGGUCUUGGUGGGUUUUGUUUUGUCCUUUAAGUUUUGUUCCCAUGAGUUUUGUGGGGAUGGAGAUUCUGGUUUUAUUAGCUAUGUGUGUGUGUCUGUGUGUCCUUCCCCUCCCCGUGGUGAACAGAACAUCCCAUUGCCAGUUGCAGUCACUGGACCUCUGGUAACAAUGUGAGAUCCCAUCUCAUUUUUACUUUUGAACGUUGGCCUUAUAAUCAAAUGUAAGUUAUAUAUAUUUGUACUGAUGAGAAUUUAUAAUCU